rnacentral:misc_RNA from 1 species
CUUGGUCAUUUGGAGGAAGGAGAAGUCGUAACAAGGUAUCCGUAGGUGAACCUGCGGAUGGAUCAUUAACACACACAUACACCUAUUUUCUCAGUGAGAUACGUGUGUACAUUUUCUUGUGCACACGAAUCUCCUCCUGAGAAAAUAAGCCCUUUUGAGAACUGUUAAAGUCCUUUAACAACAACUCACAAACUACAUAACCGUUUUAUCUAAUAUUUUCUUCGAGUACGCGUGUACGCAUCGUAGUGACAUAAAAAACCAUUAUGAUAUAAAUACACAAAUACACACAAAGUAAACAUUAACAUAAGACACAAUUUUUGACAAUGGAUAUCUUGGCUCGCUG